rnacentral:pre_miRNA from 1 species
UGGUCAAAGAACGAAUCGUCGAAUCGGAUGUCUGUAUUAUUUGAUCAGAAAUUCGAAUCGACAUUCGACCUGUGGCCAU